rnacentral:miRNA from 1 species
AAAAAAAAGAAGGAGGAGGAGGGGGAGGAGGAGGAGGAGGAGGAGGAGGAGGAGGAAGACUGGUCCCAAUCCCCAGAGAAGAAGUAGAGAUGAAGAGUCCUGGCUUCCAUGUGGGUCCUUCCUCCAUCCCUCCCUGCCUCCCUCCCUCCUUUCCUUCCUUCCUUCCUUCCUUCCUUCCUUCCUUCC